ensembl:lncRNA
UACCCAGUUGGGAGAGUGAAUCAGGAUAUGAGACCUUUCAGACUACACAGCUGUAACUACAGUGAGGAAAAACUUGGAAUAUCCUGGAGGACAAAGGAGACUGCAAGACUCCCCCCAGUUUCUUACUGUGAAACCCUGAGUACCCCAGUGUGAACCUACUGGCUCACACAGAUUUCUGGAGAUGGAUAGCAAGAGGAAGAAAAAGAUGAAGAAGAAGAAGAAGAAAUGAGAGAGAGAAAGAAGUAGACUAUAGCAACUGAUUUUCUACGGGAAAGCCCCUUUGACAGCCACUACUGAUGAUUAUAAGUUACGUCACUUAAAAGGAUGAAAUUACUCACAUAUCCUCAGGCUCUGUGGGGAGGCACAGCUCUGAAUCGCUCCAAGCCAUAGGGGAGGGUGGAAGAAGAAUGGACAGCUGAAUCAGCUAUGAGACCAGUGACUCAACGGCAAGAAAAUUAUGCUAGCAGGUUGCAUUGUGGAGCCAUUUCAAGAUAGCCAAGCAGAUUUUCUUCCAGCCAGAACUAAAUUAGAAGAUGCAGGCCUGCCUCCUUUCAAAUGCUAUCAGGUAUGGACUGAUACUGUUUCCAACUCAGAGGAUCACCAUGUCUUACAAAACACUAAAAAGAACAGCAUGCCACUCAGUGCCUGGGAAACAGGCAGUUGCAUUACAGUUACAGUUAUCCAAUAUGUGUCAGAAAAAGAGAAGUUCUCUGCAGAGGAAACCUGGCGUGCUGCAAGAGAAGAAAAUAGAGAAGCUGGAUCAUAUUUAACAACAAAAUAGUAAGAAAUCAGUCUGGUAUUUGCUAACCACAACUGUGAGUAACCAGUAACAAAUAUAACUACAGGCUACAUAUCUGAGUGAUUAUCAGAAUGCCAACUUUCUGAGGAAGGCAGGAAUUGCUUCGGAGCGUUAAAAAAUCCCAGUUUCUGCUGGCUCUCAGAAAUACCUGAAAGUACUUUAAUGAAAGAGACUUUGCUUGAAUUGCUGGACUUUACUGCUUGUAGAUAUUCCCUUAUUACUCUUAAAUUUUGUUAAAAAGUUUUGUUUAGUAUAUGUCAUUCAGAAUGUAUUUAGACAUCCUAUGACAGUUUUAUUGCAAAGAAAUUUGAAAUUGUUUCCUUCUCUACCUGUGAAGGAGGAAAAAAACCAAAAAAGUCAAUAGCUUUUUGGGAGGACGUCACUGAAAACAUAUACUUGAGAAAAACAAAGAUAGCAAUUUGGUUUGAAUUUGCCGAGUAAUUUUAGCAGAAAUGCUCUUAAAAUAUAUAUUUUUAAAAAAGCAUAUAUGUAUUUAAAAUAUAUAUAUAUUAAAAAAUUAUAUAUAUAUAUAUAUAAUGAAUUGUUUCAACAUAUCAAUAUUUGUGUACGUGACUGUAUGGGAACUGUUGAGUCAUGGCCUGAACCACUGAUUGAGCACCUGGGGAAAGGACCAGAGCAGCCCUGGGAGCACAGGUGAAGGCAAUUCAGAUGUAUGACCAGAAGGGCCGGAGCCUGGCUGCACCUCUCUUAGACCUCAUUUAAGGACUGGCUGCCCCUGGGGAAGGAUCUCUAGUUGGAGAUCCCUCCCUUUGGAGUUUUCUGUGUGAGUCUAGAUCUUCAGAGAUGGGUGAGCACCUUUUCUUUUGUACCACUAUUCCAUUUGUGUUAGUCCUUUUGCUACUACACUCAUGUAUUGCCCUUCGACCGUGUUGACCUUUCUGAUUCUAACAGUGACAUAAAAGUCAAAGAAAGGCCCUGUAGUUAGGCCAUUUAGAUUAGAAAUUAGAGGCUCAUGUUGCACUCCGCCUUCUUGAGAAGUUUUGAACUGGUAUUACUGAAGAGUUGCACUAGCCCCUCACAAUUCCUUAAUGUAGUACAGAUAGGGUUUCUCAAUGUCUUUCACUGAGAGUGACUUAUUUAGACAAGGAGAGGUAGGGAGAGAAUGCAGCAAUUGAUAGCUGGCAAAGGUAUGGAACACCUGGACUCAAACUCCAUGGUCUAAUACAAAAUAGAAUGUCAACAAGUUGAACAUAAGCUAGCAGUGUGCCUGGGCAGCCCAAAGGCCAACUGCCCCCUGGGGUGCACCAGACCUGGCAUUGCCACCGGGUGAGGAAAGCAGUUGUCUCGCUCUGCUCUGCAUUGUGCAGCCUCACCUCAAGAACUGUGUGUGGUUUUAGAUGCCACGGUGUAAAGACAUAAAAGUAUUAGAGAGCGUCCAAAGAAAGAGCUACAAAGAUGGUGAAGGGUCUGUUGGGCAAGGUGUGCGAGGAGCAGCUGAGGGCCCUGGGUUUCUUCAGCCCAGAGCACAGGAGCUGAGGGGAGACCUCAUAGUGACUGCAGCUCCUCACAGGGAGUAGAGGGGCAGCGCUGAGCUCUGCUCUGUGACAGCGGCAGGGCCCGAGGGAACGGCAUGGUGCUGUGUCAGGGGAGGAGCAGCUGGAGGUUAGGGACAGGGGCUGCACCAGAGGGCGGUGGGCAUGGAACGGGCUGCCCAGGGCAGUAGGCACAGCCCCGAGCUGCCAGUGUUCAGGAAUCUCAUGGGUCCUUUCCAACUCAGGAUAUUGUAUGUUUUUAUGAUUCCAAACCUCCAUUUCCCUGACUUUUAUCUGUGUGUGUGUGUGUGUGUGAAAACUGAAAGGAAAUAGCAAACUUAAAGUCAAUACUUCCAAGAAAAUCCAGGUUUGGAGGUCAAAAAUAAGAUUUCCCUAUGCUAGAAGAAGUGGGUUCCAUUUAAUUUUCUAGGUUUAAUCUUGAUGAUAAAAAUAUCCUAAUAGUAUUAUUGCCUGUUAUUUUUUCUUUUUUCUUUUUUUUUGCAACUGAGUAACAACAACAAAGAGUGAAAAUAAAACUCAAUCUUUGUCUCAAACCAAAGUUCCUUGUAUAGUGUAACAGAAAUAAUUGUCACCAUUCAAAGAAAAUCUCAUUCAGAUGUUGCUGAAUAAUUCAUGGUCUGUUUUCUGACUGAACUUCAUAGCAGUUAUUGGAAUGUAACUCAUCUGACUGUUAGGAAUUCAUGUGACCAUUUAAUGCACAUUUAGAUACAUGUAGAGAUGUUCAGCUUUCUCAUCUGCAUAUCUGGGGCAGUGAAAAUUGUCUCAGUACCCUUUAGAUUUCCAGUUGGCAUUUGCUGAUGUAGGUUAAUGGUCACUGAGGCACAAUAUUAUCAUUGCUACCAUACCUCCCAUAUCUUAGAAGAAUGUUACUGUUGCGUUUGCUGCUGUAUAAAAGGGAAAGACUUAAAGUAGAAAAUAGCAUUUGUUGAGCACAAAUGUUUUCAUUUCCAAGAAUCCGAGUGAUUUAAUUAUAUAAUCUAUUAUAAAAUGUGCUUCAUACUACAAGCAACAUUCAGACAAAUUAUUUUAAUUAAUACUAAACUUUAAAAAAUGUCAUAAAAUGCCUAUUUUUCCCAGACAGAACAUGCUAUCUGUCACUGAUAUUAUAUGGGUAUUCAUGUUAAAGGACGAUUUGGUCUAUUCAGCAACCACUUUAAUCAACAGGCAAAAUUAAUUCUCCUUUUUGUUUGCUAUGUAUUUGGUGUCAGAGAAUGCUGUACACCAGCAUUUUCAGCCUAUGUUCUGAGCUAGGGUGCUUUCUUCCUUUGUUACUAUGCAUGUCUUUUGAGUAUUACCUCCAUUUUUCUACUGAAGUGACACUUAUUUUUAUGAAAGCACAGUCAGAUCCUUGCAGUUCGCAAAGAGUGCGUUUAGUCUGAACUAAGUUUCUGUGUCUGAAUGGAAAGUAGAGAAUCAAAGGAGUUCACUUAAAUACUUUUUCUUUGCAUUCUGAAACUAACAAAACUUGUGUUCUGCCAAAACUGGUAAAGGAAAUUUAAUUUCCAAGAUAUGAAGUUGUGGAAGAAACUCUAUUGCCCUAGAGAAUGAAUCCUGGGGCAGUCAGAUCUGGUGUGGUAAUGCACAAAGCCAGUGCUUCAGAUAAUUCUCCUAAUCUUUGGAGGAAGUUAUGUUUAACAGCAAAGUUAACUCAAGCAAGAAGUGAGCUCUCUUAAAUAUCCAAACUACAGAAAUAUCUUGCAGGGUUUUUUUUUUUUUCCCCCUUAGGUUCAAUAUAAAUUCAAUUUCAUAGGACUAUGUGAGCAGAGAUAGCUACAGAUCUGCAAAACCUGUAGAAAUUGUGUGCUUUUAAACUUGCCUAACUUGCUUAUUCACAAACCCCAUUAUAACUGUCCACCUUAAAAAAGAGAGGGGGGGGGGGGGGGGGGGGGGAAGGGGGAGAGGGAAGUAGAGUGCAAUUCUAGUCAAGAUUGAAGAAGGUUGAGGAGGCUGCAUGGGGAAUAUUGACGUGGGUGAGAAGUAUCUUCAGGCUGCAAAGGCAGUUUACAAAUAGUUACCCUAAAAGUCCAAGUUUGCACAGCUUUAGACAGCACACUUCCCCAAGUCUUAGAGAUAUUUUGUCUGUAAUUAGUAGGGUUUCCUUUAGACCACAGGCGAGUUCCAGCUAAUUAAAAAACUAUUUGUAAAAGUUUCCCCAAAAGAUAGCCAUUGAGAUGGACAGUUGAGACUAGGAAGAAAUGGCACCUAAAGGUAUGAAGAUGCUGCCCAAAUGAUACAAAAUCAGCAGGCACUAACUUCCCUAUUACGUCUUGCUUAUGUGAUGUAAUGACGAACAGCCCUCCACUUGCCUCCUGCUGCCACUCUCCUUCAUAUUCACUUAAAUAUAGCAUCGGCUCUAAUUGUAUUUAAAGCAGUGUAAAACCUAAUGUGUGGUUGUGACAGAAAAUAGCUGUUUCCUGAAAUUCAGCGUUUGUUAGUUGCCCAUAGAAAUUAUCUCCCUUGUCUUAUUUUUAGCUCAUGGUUAUUUUUACUUUUAUUUGCUGAAUUUGAUACUAGAUAUCAGCCUUUGAUCUUUGUGAUAAUUUAACAGUAUUGUGGUGACUGUAGUGCCUGAAGGAAGACCUAUAAAUAGAUGUAAACUUAGAAACAGUGGUUUGACUAACACUGGCCACUUCAUUUGUUGUUCUAACAAAAUUAACAAAGAGAAAGGAAGACUUUUAUGCACAGUAUAGCUGUGGAAGAAGCAGGAAAAUGUACCUAAAUGGAGUCUUAGGACUGCCAGAGAAUCUUGUUCCCUCCCAGCAUUAUAUUGAGUUUCAGGUUUCCUUUAGGUUUCAUCCAGCAGUAAAGGUCAUCAAUAACCUGUUCCACCUGACAGAAAUUGCCAUUGCACUGUCAAACCUGAGUUCUGAUCUGAGUCAUCUGAAAUACAUGCCACAACAAGCGAUGGCAGUCAUCUGCACUGUCCCUAGAUUGUCAACAAAGCUCAUUUUAUGGCCCUCUUGCACCUUUGUAUUGACUGAAAUGAGACAAAGCUCUGAACUAUAAAACAUAGAUGAGGAAAAUGUUUCAGAAAACAGGCACAAAUAAAAUAGUAUUUUGGAAUGACUGGGAAGUUUUGGAGAAAACAGGGCAUCUGAUUGCUCUGAUACGAACUCCAAAUAAUAAUUUCAGACAGUAUGAUAGCAAUAUAAUCAAAUAUUUCCAUAUCAGAAAUGAUAUGGAAUCAGAAAUCAAGAUCCCACAUUUUGAAAAAUCAGCACCGGAUGCUGUGAAUGGUAAAAUUUCUCUGUGAGCUUAAAUACAAAGCCAAAGAAUCAGAAAUCAAAUCAACACAGCACCUGAAUGGACAUUUCUCCAGCAGAAGGAUUCAAUGGAGACACAUUUUAACAUUUAAAUGAGUAUAAUUUAUAGGACAACUGUCAGGUUUAGCCUUCUGCAUAUUUAAUGAUAGUUAUAAGGAUAGAAUUGAUAGAUUGGAUUAAUGUACAACAACCCUCCCCCACCUCCCCCAAAUUACUUUUCAGUUCAUUAAAAUUACCAUAAACUUAGAUACAAAUGCGAGACAACAGGACAUUUUGUUUCCCCUUCUGUAAUCCAGUCGACCUAAAGUUUCUUAAUGCAUGGCAAGAAAAGUCAUUGAAUUAAUUUUACUAUGUAUUUAUUUAGGACUGACUUGCCAUACACUGCAUAUACAUGCAACAGAGGAUAAUCCAGCUAUCUAAUCAAGUCAGACAACAAAUGAAAACAAAAAUGAAACAAUAGGCCCAUGGUCAUGCAAUAAAGUAACAGCUCUGACCAGAGCUCUGCUCUUUCCACCAAUGAGACUCAGUAGAUCAGGUGGACAGCCAGCCAGCCACAUCUGUGGCAUAGCAAGGGAAAGAAGGAUCCUGCAGUCUCUUCAGCCCCAUGCAAAGUCAAAAAGAAUUCUGAGCAACAAGUAUCUCUUAAUAACAACAAUUUCAGGAUCAAUUGCUUUUAGUACAGGAAAUGUUAUUAGUAUCUAAAGCUUAAUCUGCAUCUAAGAAUUGCAGAUAUCCUGGUAAUCUAAAUGAUGUCUCUUAGGUAAGCAGUUUUGUGUCCUGUUCAUUCUACAAAUGUUAUCAAUAUUGUCAUGUCUACAGUCUGGUUGAAUUAGUAAUAAGUAUAAAAAUUGAGAUCAAUUAGAUGUACAAUGAAGGUGUACAAUGCCUCUGAGCAAGACAAAUGUGGAUUUUUCUAUUAAAAAUAUGUUCAUUACAAAUCCAUAGUUAAACCAAGACCCUUUUUUGUUGCACUUAAGGUUUAAAUCUCACUUAUUAAAAAUGGCGUUGAAGUAGCAAAAAGACAAAGUGUGGAGUAUAAACUGUCUACAUGAAUUAUUCAUGGCAAUGUGGAAAAAUUAAUUGAUACAGAAGGAGCACUAAAUGUCCAAGGAGUAUUCCUUUUGAUAAUUUUUUUUUUUGCCUACUUUGUAAAAAGAGGGAAAAAAUAAAUAAAUUACUUUGAAUUCUCUCCUGCAGUAACACAUUUUCUCUUUGUUGUAUAUUUCUCUACUCAGACAGAGAUCUCUACUGAACCCAGAGAUAUCAGUGACAAAUCUGCCCUGGCUUAUCCAUUAAUACAAAGAAAAGCAAAACAAAACAAGAAGACUUUCCUAAUACCCUAGAAACUUGAAGGCAUUAUUUCCUACAGUAAGAGGAAAAAUACCAGCUUUCACUACUUCUAGCUGCUAUCUAAAAUUCCCAGAGUUCAAAACCAUGUUUGAGAAAAAGAAGUUCCUUGCCUUGCACUCUGUGAAGAUAACUUUAUUUGGACUUACUGAGCUGGGGAAUUAGUUACUGUGCUUUUAGAUCACAUCUACUGCGUCCCUCAUCCUACUUGAUUUUAUCUGCUUAGUACUGUAGUUAUUGAUACACAGAAGAUUGCAGUGAAAUAAACACAGCAUUUUCAGUUUUAUAUUUUAAC